UACGGAGGGUGCAAGCGUUGCCCGGAAUUACUGGGCGUAAAGCGCGUGGAGGCGGUCUCGUGUGUCUGGCGUGAAAGCCCCGGGCUCACCCCGGGAAGUGCGUUGGAAACUGCGAGACUAGAGUUCUGGAGAGGAAGGGGGAAUUCCAGGUGUAGCGGUGAAAUGCGUAGAUAUCUGGAAGAACACCGGUGGCGAAGGCGGCCUUCUGGACGGUGACUGACGCUGAGACGCGAAAGAGUGGGGAGCAAACAGG
rnacentral:rRNA from 1 species